UAAAAGAAAUGUUUUAUUCCGUUAAAUGUAAUUAAUGGAUUUGAUUAUAUUGAGCGUAAACUAAAUCCCUUAUCUCAACACAACCAUUUGUAAUCGCUUAUACAAUUUUUUUUAGAAACCUAGUUGUGUUUGUUGACCGAAAACUUGAAAAACAAUGUUAAAAUUAGGAAAAUUUGCCUUUCUGACCAAGAAAACCAUUCAAAUUCCAGUGUGCAAGCUUUCUACAGUUCCAUUACAAAAUCAGAUUUUAGAAUCCAAGGAACAACCUUUAACUGACACUUUUGGAAGACACCACAACUACCUCAGGAUAUCUUUGACUGAAAGAUGCAACUUACGAUGUCAGUAUUGUAUGCCAGAAGAAGGAGUUAAUUUAACAGCAAAAUCGGACCUAUUAACCACAGAUGAGAUAAUAAAAAUUGCCGAACUUUUCGUUAAAGUUGGAGUUAAUAAAAUAAGGUUAACAGGGGGAGAGCCAACUGUUAGGAAAGACAUUAUCCAGAUCGUUGAACUUCUGAAAUCAAUAGAAGGCCUAGAGACUGUGGCAAUGACAACUAAUGGAUUAACCCUAACCAGGCAGCUUGUAGCCCUCCAAAAGGCAGGCCUGGAUAUUUUAAAUAUCAGCCUAGACACACUAAACGCCGAGAAAUAUUUGAAAAUAUCGAGAAGAAAUGGCUGGAAAAGGGCAAUGAUGGGCAUCGACCUGGCAUUACAAUUAGGCUAUAGUCCGGUAAAAGUGAACUGUGUUCUUAUGAAGGGUGUAAAUGAUGCAGAAAUCAUAGAUUUUGUCAGCCUAACUAAGGAUAAAGAUCUGGAUAUAAGGUUUAUAGAAUACAUGCCUUUCUCAGGUAACAAAUGGAACGAGAACAAAAUGGUUUCAUACAAAGACAUGGUCCAAGAAAUCAGAAAUACUUAUCCAGGAUUUUAUGCCAUGAAAAACGGCCCAAAUGACACCUCAAAGGCUUGGAAAGUUCCAGGCUAUAAAGGGCAAAUAGGCUUCAUAACAUCGAUGAGUGAACAUUUUUGCGGAUCUUGCAAUAGGCUCAGACUCACCGCCGAUGGUAAUUUGAAAGUUUGUCUAUUCGGCAACACCGAGGUGUCUUUGAGGGACGCUCUGAGGGCAAAAUGCUCAGAAGAAGAUCUCGUCGCUCUCAUUUCAGCUGCCGUAAAAAGGAAGAAGAAACAACAUGCGGGCAUGUUCAAUUUAUCUCAAAUGGAUAAUAGGCCAAUGAUUCUUAUUGGUGGAUAGUAGUUGUUUAAUUUUAACCAGUUAGCACAGCUAACUCAUUCUCUCUAUAGUUUAAAAAAAAGAAAAUCGCCACUCGAACCUGUUAUCUCCGAUCCCUAAGCUUCCAAACAUUCUGCCAUUCUUCCCAAAAACCCUCCAAUACCAAACCGUACGUCAUUAUUCCACCGAACCACAAGACAAACCGAAAACCCACCUGACCCACAUCAACGCC
rnacentral:misc_RNA from 1 species